UCACACAAAAAAAAAAAGCGCCCAGGAGCCGAUUGAUUAAGCACGGACGCAGCGCUCCGACCAUGCCGCACCGGCCCGCGGCUCUCCAGGUGCCGCCGCCGCUCCUGGGUGCGCCACUCUGGGUAACCGUGCGCCAUUUCUGGCCGCUGUGCUGUGGGAUCCACCUCUCUGCAUCAUCAAUCCUCUCCUGCACUUGAUUCACUGCACGCCCGCGCUCAGCCCCAUGGCCUCGCCGUGCCACUCCCACUCCUCUCUCCCGAAUCUGCUUAGAUGGGGUGGAAUCCCUGGCGUGCCCGUCGCCACGAUGAUCUUCACCAGACCCGGCGCCCUCCAAUCGCCAUCUUUGGGGUGCGGGAUGAGCGUGGUUGCGGCGGUAGGUGGGCAACUGCGCAUCUCGUCUGCGCCUACGGCACCUGCGUAACUCGUCGGAGCAACGGCCUCUCCCUCGGCGGCCGCCUACAGCAACUACAGUCUCAAGGUUGCUGCAGAAGAGAUCAAGUGAACAAAGGCAUUUGUUAGGAUGUUCCAACCAUCUGAAAAAUCGGACAAGAGCAACGAUGUAAUGUAUGUGUGUCGGCAGGAUGUGCAGAGCGCAGACUCUUCCAUUUGGCAGUUGGCACUGCUUCAUAUUUAACCACUUUGAAUGCUUCGAGAAACAAAAAGACAAAAAAAGGUGAAAUUCGAUUUUGAGCAUUUCAAUCUUUGUUGAAAUUUGACGGCAUGCUGACACCAGUUGUAUGUUGUAAUUACAAUAUCUUUGUUAAUGCACCAAAUUUACACCCUGCUAGGGCAGUUCCCAAAUUUAUAUAGCUGAGCAUCAUCUCUUUUAGUUGGUGAUGUCCAGGACAUUGGCAAUUUUACUAUUGUCUCUGACAGUGAAGUUCAGGUCAGACACGAUCUACACAUGCCUAUUGGCCAGUCCAAGGCACCGUCAUGCCUGAAUCCAAUUGAUCUGUCCAUCAUAUGGCACCUGAUCAAGGUCAAUGAGUUUUGUCAUGCACGGUCGAGCUACAAAGAUUCAUUCCUUAUAUAAUUGGCCAUUUGAAGGAGGAGAUGCCUGCAAUGAUGGGAAAAGCUAACCUAGAAAAUGAAUUUGCAAAGGAAUGAUGAGCAUUGAAACAACAGAAAAGCCCUACCUUGGCCCGCUGAUACAAGAAAGAAAACUAAUUGCAUCUCCUGAUAAAAGUAUGCAGCUGGACUUGAAGUGACGUGGUGUAAAGAGCUACUGUUCCAUGUAUAUGUGGUCUGUUUUUUGUUGUUAUUUGAUAAUGGAUGCGAUAUUUUGAUUUUUUUAAAUUAUUUCAAUAAAUGCUUUGGGCUUAUGGUCUAUUGAAAUGGUC